rnacentral:rRNA from 1 species
GUGGGGAAUCUUCCGCAAUGGACGAAAGUCUGACGGAGCAACGCCGCGUGAACGAUGACGGCCUUCGGGUUGUAAAGUUCUGUUAUACGGGACGAAUGGUACGACGGUCAAUACCCGUCGUAAGUGACGGUACCGUAAGAGAAAGCCACGGCUAACUACGUGCCAGCAGCCGCGGUAAUACGUAGGUGGCAAGCGUUGUCCGGAAUUAUUGGGCGGAAAGGGCGCGCAGGCGGCGUCGUAAGUCGGUCUUAAAAGUGCGGGGCUUAACCCCGUGAGGGGACCGAAACUGCGAUGCUAGAGUAUCGGAGAGGAAAGCGGAAUUCCUAGUGUAGCGGUGAAAUGCGUAGAUAUUAGGAGGAACACCAGUGGCGAAAGCGGCUUUCUGGACGACAACUGACGCUGAGGCGCGAAAGCCAGGGGAGCAAACGGGAUUAGAUACCCCAGUAGUCC